rnacentral:misc_RNA from 1 species
UACAAUAGGAAAAUACAAUUAAUGUCUAAUAAUCUGUAUUUCUAAAAUUAGGGGAUUCCAACACUCCUCAAGUUAGUUCAUGGACAUUUCACAUGCCCAACUUGCAAACUAAAGUGUGUAAUACUUUGCUGCUUAGAUGCUUUGUAAAUACAUUAGCCAACUACUCCUUCGAUGUCACAUAAGUCAGUCAAUGAAACGUCUACAAUCUUCUCUUUUAUGAAGUGCCAAUCAAUCUCUAUAUGCGUGGUCCUAUUAUGUUGAAUUGGAUCGUGGACAAUAUUAAUAGCAACUUUGUUGUCAUAAAAUAAAGAUAAACUAUUGGUCUCUGACAACCUCAACAUCUCCAACUUUUGCAACCACAACAACUCACAGAUGCCUUGUGCCAUAGUCCAAUAUUUUGCUUCUGCAUUUGAUUUACUUGUCACAUUUUGUUUCUUGCUUCUUUAAGUAACUAGGUUACCGCUAACAAAGGUGCAAUAACCUAAUGUAGACCUUUAUCAUCAAGAGAUUUAGUCCAAUUUGUGUCUGUAAAGGCUUUUGGAGAUGACCAUGCUUUGAAAAAAGAAGUCCUUUUCAAGGAGCAGAUUUUAGAUACCUCAAAAUGUGGAAAACAACUUCUAAGUGAGUUGCUCGAGGAUCAUGUAUAUAUUGACUUACUAGACUCACUCCAUAAGUUGCUUGGUCUAGUGUGUGAUGUAUAUAAAUUGAUCUCCUAACCAACUUUUGAUAUCUUACUAAAUCAACUAAUUCCUCAACUCCUACUUGUGGUUUAUGAUUAGUUUCAGUAGGAGAUUUUGCAGGUUUACAGCUCGAUAAGCUUGUUUCUUUUAUAAGGUCUAAAAUGUACUUCCUUUGAAAAAUGAAGAUUCCUUUAUUUGAUUUAACAACUUCUAUCCCAAGUACCUUAAUCUACCCAAGUCU